AGUGAACGCUGGCGGUAGGCCUAACACAUGCAAGUCGAACGGCAGCACAGUAAGAGCUUGCUCUUACGGGUGGCGAGUGGCGGACGGGUGAGGAAUACAUUGGAAUCUACUUUUUCGUGGGGGAUAACGUAGGGAAACUUACGCUAAUACCGCAUACGACCUACGGGUGAAAGCAGGGGAUCUUCGGACCUUGCGCGAUUGAAUGAGCCGAUGUCGGAUUAGCUAGUUGGCGGGGUAAAGGCCCACCAAGGCGACGAUCCGUAGCUGGUCUGAGAGGAUGAUCAGCCACACUGGAACUGAGACACGGUCCAGACUCCUACGGGAGGCAGCAGUGGGGAAUAUUGGACAAUGGGCGCAAGCCUGAUCCAGCUAUACCGCGUGGGUGAAGAAGGCCUUCGGGUUGUAAAGCCCUUUUGUUGGGAAAGAAAAGCAGCAGGUUAAUACCCCGCUGUUCUGACGGUACCCAAAGAAUAAGCACCGGCUAACUUCGUG
rnacentral:rRNA from 1 species